ensembl:lncRNA
CCUCACAGGAGUUGCUCUUUUCCAACUGGGCAGACUGCAGGCAAGCUUUCUGAUAUUCACAUUUCUUCAGAGCAAUGAUCCCGCUGUCCCCGUUCCCACCUGCCGUGCCGGCUGCCUCGCGGCGCUCCGGCGUCCUCACCCGGCUGUCCCCUUCCCUUGGAAUCCGCACUCAUUAAUUCACUUCUACGGAUUAUCAUCGUCCUGUGUGAAUCUCUGGGUGCCGGGUCUGAUAUCCAGCCUUAACAUCACUGCCCCAUGGC